ensembl:lncRNA
GGUGAAGACUGCUGCCACGUCCUGCCUAUCUCAUGCUGCACGUAGUGGGGUGUAGCUCCAGGACACUUGCCUGAUCCCCAGGCAAGGCUUUCCCUGGCAGCUACACCAGGAAAGCUGUGGUCCUGGCCCCAGCCUCGGCACGCAGCUCGGGCAUCCCAGUCUCUGAAGAGAGAGUUGCAGCCUAGUCUCAGGCCUCUUGGCCAGUCAAGCCCUUCAUAUGUUUACAUCCCUAACCCUGGCGUCUUCAUGCCCAGGUCUCCUUCCCUGAGGUCUUGGGCGGAGGUCUUCCAGGCACCUCAGCUGAGACCUCUGUGUGGAGUGGAGGCCUUGCCACUUCUCCCCACGGGGACUCAGGACUCAGUACACAUCCACUCUCAGUUCUCCCCUCCCCGACUCUGGGGUCUGUAAAGCUGCCAGAGCCUCUUAUUCAGGACCCCUUCAACACUGAGAUUAGCCCACAUCAGUGCUGAUCCACCUGGGCCUCUACCAAGGUGUCAUUUCAUGGAGAAAAUGAAACAGGAGGAAGUUAGCGCCUUCUCGGGUUCAGCCUCCUGCUUAUACUAUCACGGCAAGUGAUUAAAGGCUUCACUGUUACUUUCAUUUUGGCUCAUUGUUGCUU